AGUGAACGCUGGCGGUAGGCCUAACACAUGCAAGUCGAACGGCAGCACAGUAAGAGCUUGCUCUUACGGGUGGCGAGUGGCGGACGGGUGAGGAAUACAUCGGAAUCUACUUUUUCGUGGGGGAUAACGUAGGGAAACUUACGCUAAUACCGCAUACGACCUACGGGUGAAAGCAGGGGAUCUUCGGACCUUGCGCGAUUGAAUGAGCCGAUGUCGGAUUAGCUAGUUGGCGGGGUAAAGGCCCACCAAGGCGACGAUCCGGAGCUGGUCUGAGAGGAUGAGCAGCCAAGAGUGAGGAAGGAAAGAGUCCGGACGCAUACGGGAGCCAGCAGUGGGGGAUAUGGGAAAAUGGGCGCAAGCUUGAACCAUCCAUACCGCGUGGAUGAAAAAGAGCAGGUGGUUGUAACGCGCUUUUGGUGGUAAAGAAAAGCAGCAGGUUAAGAACCAGCUGUCCUGAAGGUACGCAAAGAAUAAGCACCGACUAGCUUAGU
rnacentral:rRNA from 1 species